AUUGAACGCUGGCGGCAUGCCUUACACAUGCAAGUCGAACGGUAACAGGUCUUCGGAUGCUGACGAGUGGCGAACGGGUGAGUAAUACAUCGGAACGUGCCUAGUAGUGGGGGAUAACUACUCGAAAGAGUGGCUAAUACCGCAUGAGAUCUACGGAUGAAAGCAGGGGAUCGCAAGACCUUGUGCUACUAGAGCGGCCGAUGGCAGAUUAGGUAGUUGGUGGGAUAAAAGCUUACCAAGCCGACGAUCUGUAGCUGGUCUGGGAGGACGAUCAGCCACACUGGGACUGAGAAACGGCCCAGACUCCUACGGGAGGCAGCAGUGGGGAAUUGGACAAUGGGCGCAAGCCUGAUCCAGCAAUGCCGCGUGCAGGAUGAAGGCCUUCGGGUUGUAAACUGCUUUUGUACGGAACGAAAAGCCCCGGGUUAAUACCCUGGGGUCAUGACGGUACCGUAAGAAUAAGCACCGGCUAACUACGUGCCAGCCGCCGCCGUAA
rnacentral:rRNA from 1 species